rnacentral:rRNA from 1 species
GAUGAACGCUGGCGGCGUGCCUAAUACAUGCAAGUCGAGCGAACGGACGAGAAGCUUGCUUCUCUGAUGUUAGCGGCGGACGGGUGAGUAACACGUGGAUAACCUACCUAUAAGACUGGGAUAACUUCGGGAAACCGGAGCUAAUACCGGAUAAUAUUUUGAACCGCAUGGUUCAAAAGUGAAAGACGGUCUUGCUGUCACUUAUAGAUGGAUCCGCGCUGCAUUAGCUAGUUGGUAAGGUAACGGCUUACCAAGGCAACGAUGCAUAGCCGACCUGAGAGGGUGAUCGGCCACACUGGACCUGAGACACGGUCCAGACUCCUACGGGAGGCAGCAGUAGGGAAUCUUCCGCAAUGGGCGAAAGCCUGACGGAGCAACGCCGCGUGAGUGAUGAAGGUCUUCGGAUCGUAAAACUCUGUUAUUAGGGAAGAACAUAUGUGUAAGUAACUGUGCACAUCUUGACGGUACCUAAUCAGAAAACCACGGCUAACUACGU